rnacentral:tRNA from 1 species
GCUAGCAUGGCGUAGUGGUUUAAGUGUUGGACUGCAACUUUGGAGACCAGGGUUCGAUUCCCAGCUUGGGUA